GACCGCGUGGCCUAGAGGUAAUGGCGCCCGACUGAACGAUCGGGCGACGUGGGUUCGAAUCCCGCCGCGGUUA